rnacentral:tRNA from 1 species
ACUUAAAUAGUUUAAUAUAAAAUAUUGAUUUGUGGAAUCAGAGAUAUAAUAUUUAUUUUAGGUA